rnacentral:rRNA from 1 species
GUGGGGAAUAUUGGACAAUGGGCGAAAGCCUGAUCCAGCCAUGCCGCGUGUGUGAAGAAGGUCUUCGGAUUGUAAAGCACUUUAAGUUGGGAGGAAGGGCAUUAACCUAAUACGUUAGUGUUUUGACGUUACCGACAGAAUAAGCACCGGCUAACUUCGUGCCAGCAGCCGCGGUAAUACGAAGGGUGCAAGCGUUAAUCGGAAUUACUGGGCGUAAAGCGCGCGUAGGUGGUUUUGUAAGUUGGAGGUGAAAUCCCCGGGCUCAACCUGGGAACUGCCUCCAAAACUGCAUGACUAGAGUACGGUAGAGGGUAGUGGAAUUUCCUGUGUAGCGGUGAAAUGCGUAGAUAUAGGAAGGAACACCAGUGGCGAAGGCGACUACCUGGACUGAUACUGACACUGAGGUGCGAAAGCGUGGGGAGCAAACAGGAUUAGAAACCCUAGUAGUCC